GAAUCCUGUCUGAAUCCGCCGGGACCACCCGGUAAGGCUAAAUACUCCCGAGAGACCGAUAGUGAACCAGUACCGUGAGGGAAAGGUGAAAAGUACCCCGAGCAGGGGGGUGAAAUAGACCCUGAACCCGCGCGCCUACAAGCGGUCGGAGCUGCCUUGUGCAGUGACGGCGUGCCUUUUGCAUAAUGAGCCUACGAGUUAGUCGUCACCAGCGAGGUUAAGGGCUUCAGGCCCGUUAGCCGAAGUGAAAGCGAGCCUUAACAGGGCGUCGAGUUGGUGGCGCUAGACGCGAAACCUUGUGAUCUACCCUCGUGCAGGUUGAAGUCCCGGUAACACGGGAUGGAGGACCGAACCGGUAAACGUUGAAAAGUUUUCGGAUGACGCGAGGGUAGGGGUGAAAGGCCAAUCAAACUGGGAAAUAGCUCGUACUCUCCGAAAUGCAUUUCGGUGCAGCCUGUGGUGUUCUGUUCUAGAGGUAGAGCUACUGAUUGGACGCGAGGGCUUCACCGCCUAUCAAAUCCGGAUAAACUCCGAAUGCUAGAACAUCAAACCAUGGAGUGAGCCCGCGGGUGCUAAGGUCCGCGGACGAGAGGGGAAGAACCCAGACCACCGGCUAAGGUCCCGGAUGGACGGUUAAGUUGAUAAAACGAGGUGGGAUCGCGGAGACAGCUAGGAUGUUGGCUUGGAAGCAGCCAUUCAUUUAAAGAGUGCGUAACAGCUCACUAGUCGAGCGAUCCCGCGUGGAUAAUACACGGGCAUCAAACCGUCAACCGAAGCCGUGGGGUCAGUUAAAAACUGACCGGUAGGAGAGCAUUCCUGCCCGCGUCGAAGGUCACCCGCGAGAGUGACUGGAGCGGCAUGAAAAGCAAAUGUAGGCAUAAGUAACGAUAAUGGGGGCGAGAACCCCCCACGCCGUAAGACCAAGGAUUCCCCGGCAAUGUCAAUCAGCCGGGGGUCAGCCGGCCUCUAAGGCUAACCCGAAGGGGGAUGCCGACGAGAAACGGGUUAAUAUUCCCGUGCUUCUCGUCACCGUAACGCGGUGACGGGGUGAUGAAGGGAUCGCGCGCUGACGGAAUAGCGCGUUGAAGGCCGUACCCUGCGAGGGUGGUAGUCAAGCACGCCACCCGAGGCGAAAGCCGAUAGUACCGCGAGACCCCGGUCGAGUGGAUAGCAUCCCGGCAAUUUACCCCCUAGAAAACCCGCUAAACUUCAAGUGACGAGGACCCGUACUGUAAACGGACACACGUGGUCGGGUAGAAUAUACCAAGGCGCUCGAGUGAUUCAUGGUCAAGGAACUAGGCAAAAUAGUCCUGUAACUUCGGGAAAAAGGACGCUCUAGUGAUAGAGCCGCAGAGUAAUGGCCCAGGCGACUGUUUACCAAAAACACAUGGCUAUGCCAAAUCGAAAGAUGACGUAUAUGGCCUGACACCUGCCCGGUGCCGGAAGGUUAAGAGGAGAGCUCAUCGGCAACGAGAAGGUUUGAAUUGAAGCCCCGGUAAACGGCGGCCGUAACUAUAACGGUCCUAAGGUAGCGAAAUUCCUUGUCGGGUAAGUUCCGACCUGCACGAAUGGUGUAACGAUCUGGGCACUGUCUCGACCAUGAGCUCGGUGAAAUUGUAGUUCCGGUGAAGAUGCCGGGUACCCGCGACGGGACGGAAAGACCCCGUGAACCUUUACUGCAGCUUCGCGUUGUUCCCGGGCACGGGACGUGUAGGAUAGGUCGGAGGCAAUGAAGCGGUUUCGCCAGGAAUCGUGGAGCCAUCGUUGAAAUACGACCCUUCUCUUGUCUGGGAUCUAACUCGUUUAUCGAGGACACCGCGUGGUGGGUAGUUUGACUGGGGUGGUCGCCUCCAAAAGCGUAACGGAGGCUUCCAAAGGUACCCUCGGGUUGAUUGGUAAUCAACCGUAGAGUGCAAUGGCACAAGGGUGCUUGACCGGGAGACCAACAAGUCGAUCGGGUGCGAAAGCAGGGCAUAGUGAUCCGGUGAUCCCGCGUGGAAGGGUCAUCGCUCAAAGGAUAAAAGGUACUCCGGGGAUAACAGGCUGAUCGCCCCCAAGAGCUCAUAUCGACGGGGCGGUUUGGCACCUCGAUGUCGGCUCGUCACAUCCUGGGGCUGGAGAAGGUCCCAA
rnacentral:rRNA from 1 species